AACUCGUGGACGCAAUUUAGCGACCCGUGACGCUAACGGCAGGUACACGUGAAACUUGAUAACUCUUGAACAUUUUCAAACAUGUUAAAAGUUUUCCACAAGUCAAAUUUACUGUUGAAGUUAAAAAUUGAAACAUUUAAACUCGUUGUAAUAACUUGGUGGCACGUGAGUUAAACUUAGUGACUCUUGCGUCUACCGUGUUAACUCUUUUAACUCAGCGGG